UUUUUGAAGUAAAUUUGUGGAACAGAGAUUAUUUGUUUGGAAUUGCUUGGAAUCUGGAGUUGGCCAUUCAAAACAGUAAUUCAAUAUUGUGAUGGGCUUUUGUGACACAAUGGUGACACUUUGUUUCAUGCACACUAAGUCAUUCCAAUUGGCGUUUCAAUUCUGAUAAUCGACUGCUCUCCACCUUAUAAUGAAUCGUGGGUGUUAGAACACUUCACUUUGUGCUUUUGAAUUCAUGCAGCAAGACCUCGUCAAAACUUCAACUCCAUCCUCAUAACAGGGAACAAUGUGGUUAAUUUACAGUUCUAAAUGUUAAAAAUGAUCGCCGGAGGUCGAUUUGAGGACUUACCGGCCUCAAGGUCCGGUUGAAUUUCUUCACGACGCUGUAAUGGUGAAUAUCUGCCGUUACCUCAAGUCAAAAGGUUACUUUUAAAACACGCCGUAGGGCAGUAGGGCUUGAUGGGCUAUAAAUAACACCACUCUCGCGUGUGACGCAUCCCAGAUCUCACUCUCUUGAGUCUCACUCUCCUCCUACGUCUUAUCUCAAUCUCGCCAAAUCUUCCGCUCAAUCUCUCUGCGCCACAUCUCCUCUGCCAUGAACGUUCUAGGAUUCAAAGAAAGGUUUUGAAAUUUAUGGAGUGGGUUUGUGAUCGCCAAAUCAUCUUGAUCCAUUGCUGGAAAAAAGAAGUGUACUUAAGGGUGUAAUAAUCCGCAGGAGCCAAACUUGUUGAAUGAAAUGUGUUGGUUAGACUUGAACUAGUUUCACUUAUAUGAAUUUGAGAAGUAAUGUUCGCUAUAUAAGACAGAUCUGUGCCUGAUCGCAAAACAAGAGCUGCUUUCUUCAACUUUUUGUCCAAUCUUUAAGCGCUUCAUAUCCUCGUUGAUGAUAGGAAUGAGCAGUAAAUCUCAUAUUGGAAAGGGUUUUUCAUUAUUCAUGAUUUCAUGGCAUGAUUCCUGUCAUCAACAUGGAUAUAAAGUUCUGGGGUGGACAUAAAAUUCAAGACUGCAGCUCUUUUUCUAUGGUCAAUCACAUCUCUCUCCAAUAUAUUGGACAAUUUUACUUGUUCAAUUCAUAGAAUGGAAACAAAGUCAAGGUUGAAUCACACAUUUUUCUUUAGAGGUUGCUUGUGCGUAUUAUUAUACUUGAAAGUAUAUAAAACAGUGUUCGGGGAUCAAGUGCUGCAUUACUUUCUUGGAGCUUUUUUAGAUUCAGGAGACGGUUUCUCACAGUGAGAAGCAUGAUCUGUAAAUCAUCUUCACCAUUGCUGAAAUAUACUUGGUCGUAAUAAUGUGUAGUUAGUUCAACUAGUAGAAAACAAAUGUAUUGAUUAAACUUGGUGAAAAACUUGAACUAGUCUCACUCAUAUGAAUAAGUUAUACUCUUGAUUGUUCUCGAAAAACCAGAGCUGCUAUUUUGAACUGUUUGUGGGCUAGUUGAAAUCAUUAAAGACGACACAGAUCAAGCAAUAGUUGUCAGCAAUAGAGAGAAUCCCAAGGCCAUGCUUCUUGCAAGAUUACAACAUCAAGUGUUCGGUUAGACAAAGGCUUGAUAUUGCAAAGCGAUUUCAAUUUUAUUUUUUUCUGUUUCUCAGUUAGUCAUUUAAUGACUUCAAGCGUUCAUACAA